UACGUAGGGGGCAAGCGUUACCCGGAUUUACUGGGCGUAAAGCGCGUGUAGGCGGCAGGUCAAGCGUGGUGUGAAAUCUCCGGGCUCAACCCGGAAACUGCAUUGCGAACUGGCCUGCUAGAGUGCAGGAGAGGGUAGCGGAAUUCUCGGUGUAGCGGUGAAAUGCGUAGAUAUCGAGAGGAACACCAGUGGCGAAGGCGGCUACCUGGCCUGUAACUGACGCUGAGACGCGAAAGCGUGGGGAGCGAACGGG
rnacentral:rRNA from 1 species